rnacentral:rRNA from 1 species
UACACAUACACAGGUGCUGCAUGGUUGUCGUCAGCUCGUGUCGUGAGAUGUAAGGUUAAGUCCUUGAACGAGCGCAACCCCUGCCCUUAGUUGCUAACAGGUAAUGCUGAGGACACUAAGGGGACUGCCGUCGACAAGACGGAGGAAGGUGGGGAUGACGUCAAAUCCUCAUGGCCUUUAUGUCCAGGGCCACACACAUGCGACAAUGGUGAGGACAAUGGGAUGCAAAGGGUAACCUAGAGCAAAUCCUCAAAACUCACCCCAGUACCGAUUGAGGACUGCAACUCGUCCUCAUGAAGCUGGAGUUGCUAGUAACUGUGAGUCAGCUAUAUCACAGUGAAUACGUUCCCGGGGUUU